UGGGGAAUAUUGCACAAUGGGCGCAAGCCUGAUGCAGCCAUGCCGCGUGUGUGAAGAAGGCCUUCGGGUUGUAAAGCACUUUCAGCGGGGAGGAAGGCGAUAAGGUUAAUAACCUCAUCGAUUGACGUUACCCGCAGAAGAAGCACCGGCUAACUCCGUGCCAGCAGCCGCGGUAAUACGGAGGGUGCAAGCGUUAAUCGGAAUUACUGGGCGUAAAGCGCACGCAGGCGGUCUGUCAAGUCGGAUGUGAAAUCCCCGGGCUCAACCUGGGAACUGCAUUCGAAACUGGCAGGCUAGAGUCUUGUAGAGGGGGGUAGAAUUCCAGGUGUAGCGAUGAAAUGCGUAGCGAUCUGGAGGAAUACCGGUGGCGAAGGCGGCCCCCUGGACAAAGACUGACGCUCAGGUGCGAAAGCGUGGGGAGCAAACAGG
rnacentral:rRNA from 1 species